GUAGGGAAUAUUGGGCAAUGGAUGCAAGUCUGACCCAGCCAUCCCGCGUGCCGGAAGAAGGCCCUCAGGGUUGUAAACGGCUUUUGACGGUGAAGAAUCGACAGGAUGCGUCCUGUUUUGACGGUAGCCGUUGAAUAAGCACCGGCUAACUCCGUGCCAGCAGCCGCGGUAAUACGGAGGGUGCGAGCGUUGUCCGGAUUUAUUGGGUUUAAAGGGUGCGUAGGCUGGAAGGUCAGUCAGCGGUGAAAAGCUGUCGCUUAACGAUAGUCUUGCCGCAGAUACUUCCUUUCUUGGAUGAGGAGGAGGCCACUGGAACGGAUGGUGUAGCGGUGAAAUGCAUAGAUAUCAUCCAGAACACCGAUUGCGAAGGCAGGUGGCUGUACCUUAAUCGACGCUGAUGCACGAAAGCAUGGGGGGCAAACAGGAUUAGAAACCCGGGUAGUCC
rnacentral:rRNA from 1 species